UACGGAGGGUGCAAGCGUUGCUCGGAAUCACUGGGCGUAAAGCGUACGCAGGCGGCCUAUUAAGUCGGGGGUGAAAGCCCGGAGCUCAACUCCGGAAUUGCGCCCGAUACUGGUAGGCUUGAAUACGGGAGAGGGAAGCGGAAUUCCUGGUGUAGAGGUGAAAUUCGUAGAUAUCAGGAGGAACACCAGUGGCGUAAGCGGCUUCCUGGCCCGAUAUUGACGCUCAGGUACGAAAGCGUGGGUAGCAAACAGG
rnacentral:misc_RNA from 1 species